AGUUCGGACUGUGGUCUGCAACUCGACCACACGAAGCUGGAAUCGCUAGUAAUCGCGAAUCAGCAUGUCGCGGUGAAUACGUUCCGGGUCUUGUACACACCGCCCGUCACACCAUGGGAGCCGGUAACGCCCGAAGUCAGUGACCCAACCGAGAGGAGGGAGCUGCCGAAGGCGGGACAGGUAACUGGGGUGAAGUCGUAACAAGGUAAC
rnacentral:rRNA from 1 species